GGAGAGCGAGAGAGGGAAAAUGGAAGAGUCGAGAAGGAAAGUAACAGUGACGUCACUUGCGUCUCUGUUCCCGGUGGAGGAGGCCCAGAAAGCGGCGAAGCGCGUCGAAGAUGCCAUCGCCGAGAAGCGAAACGAGCUCGACACCCUACGAGGUUUUGUCGGCGACAACAACAACCUCGUUAACCUCGUCCAGAAGCUCCUCGACCACCUCUCUCACGACAUCAUGGUUCCUUUUGGGAAAGCAGCGUUCUUCCCAGGUUGUUUGAUUCACACCAACGAGUUCCUGGUUCUUUUGGGAGAAGGCUAUUAUGCAGAGAGAACGUCCAAACAAGCCGUUGAGAUUCUGCAACGAAGAGGGAAGUCCUUGGAUUCUCAUGUUGAUUCUCUUGAGGCCAUGAUCAAGGACCUUGAGGCAGAGUCUUCGUUUUUCAAUUCCACAGCUUCUGAAGCAGCGUUGGAGCGGAAAUAUAUCCGGAAGGGUUUUGUGGAAAUAAGGGAAGAUUAUGAGGAGGAAGGCUCUAACGAAGGGGAAUCUAAAUCAGGUCCACCGGAGCAAGAUGCUUUUAAUUUUGAGAAUGCUAUAGCUGAUGAUGGGGAAUAUGCUCGUAUAGUGUCUAGAUUGGAUGAACUUGAGAAAGAAGAGCUAGCUGCAGAAAGUGACAAUCAGAGUCAUCAAAAUGAGGAACCUACUGCUGAUUUUGAUGGUAUUUCAUAUCAGAGACCUAUUGAUGACAAUCUCCAAAAUUUAGAAGACUUUCAUGAAUGCGUACCGCUGGACCAGACUAACAGAAACAUUAUAGCAACUGAGUCUCCAAAAAAGAAUAAUCAUCAAGAAGAUAUAGUGGAUCAGUUGAAUUUUGCAAGCCUGGCAAUGGAAUCUAAGGUCAGAGAUGGGAAAAGUUCUCAACAAAAUGUGGAAUCCAUUAUUCCUAUUGAGAAGCUUCCCAUACUUCCUAAACAGAAGACAGUUCAAGCAACUACUGCAUCGAAUAUUGAGGUUCCGCAUCAAACUUCAGAACCAUCAUUCCAUCAUUCGAUAGUAGCAAGGCUUUUACUUUUACAGGCUCCAUCAUAGAGCAUGCUGAGAAUAUUCAAACAACUUCAAGAGAACAAAGAUCAACUUCCUUAGAGGUUUCUGGUUCUCAAUAUUCAAAACCAGUCUCCAGAUUCAAAAUGCAGAGAAGAUAGACAAUAAUAUGAGAAGGUUGUUUGAAGCUUUACUUAUUUGACAAACUAAUGGUGGUGGCAUCCAUGAUGGUUCAAGCAUGUGCUUGUUAGAAUCAAAAGCAGAAAAAGGUAAAAAUAGGAUAAACCGUUGAGUAGUGAAAAUUUAAUGUCCUUUCUUGGUAGAAAGAAAAAGUGGAAGAAAUGAAGAUGGGAUUUCUACCAUUUUUAGACUGAGAUUGUGAUUCAACAGAUGUAGCUAUGUUUUAUAUAGAAUUGUAAUUGAGAUAAUUGAUAAUUAUAGAUGACUUGUAACAUGGAAGAGGUUGUUGAAUUUUCUUUUUCGUUAGUAACACCUCUUGUAAAAUGUGAAGGCAGUGAGAAAUUAAAACAUCUCCAUUAGUCCAUUUUUUC